rnacentral:rRNA from 1 species
UACAGAGGGUGCGAGCGUUGUCCGGAAUCACUGGGCGUAAAGGGCGCGUAGGCGGUCUCUUAAGCGUGUGGUGAAAGCCCGGGGCUCAACUCCGGGUCGGCCGUGCGAACUGGGGGACUGGAGCGUAUCAGAGGCGGGCGGAAUUCCGGGUGUGAGCGGUGGAAUGCGUAGAGAUCGGAAAGAACACCAACGGCGAAAGCACUCUGCUGGGCCGACACUGACACUGAGAGACGAAAGCUAGGGGAGCGAAUGGG